AAUUAACAGAGAAACCAAAUGAAAGAAGGGUAAGCCCGUGGCUGUGAAUGUUCAAAUUGAAUUGAUUCAAAGAAGCAAAGGAGAAGAAAGAAAGAAAGAAAAAGAAAAUGGAAGCAGUGGCCGAGGGACUAUGGGGAUUGGCUGAUUACGAGGAGCAGAAGGGGGAGAUAGGCAAGGCAGUUAAGUGCCUUGAAGCUAUUUGCCAAACCCAGGUCUCUUUCUUGCCAAUCAUCGAAGUCAAAACCCGUCUUCGCAUUGCUACUCUUCUUCUCAAACACUCUCACAACGUCAACGAGGCCAAAUCCCACCUGGAGCGAGCCCAAUUACUUCUCAAAUCGAUCCCUUCCUGCUUCGAAUUGAAGUGCCGUACUUACAGCUUGUUGAGUCAGUGUUAUCAUCUGGUGGGUGCGAUUCCUCCGCAGAAACAGAUUCUCCAUAAGGGCCUCGAGCUCAUUGCUUCUACUGCUCCUGAGGUAACAGUUAAAUUAUGGUCCUGUAACUUCAGUUCCCAGCUGGCCAAUGCAUUGAUAAUCGAAGGGGAUUAUCAUUCUGCUAUUUCUGCUUUGGAAUCUGGUUAUGAUUGUGCUGCACAAAUUUGUUAUCCGG
rnacentral:misc_RNA from 1 species